rnacentral:rRNA from 1 species
AUACGUAGGUGACAAGCGUUAUCCGGAUUUACUGGGCGUAAAGGGCGUGUAGGCGGUCUUAUAAGUCAGAUGUGAAAUUCCCGGGCUCAACUUGGGCGCUGCAUCUGAAACUGCAAGACUUGAGUGCUGGAGGGGAUAGCGGAAUUCCUAGUGGAGCGGUAAAAUGCGCAGAGAUUAGGAAGAACACCGGUGGCGAAGGCGGCUAUCUGGACAGUAACUGACGCUGAGGCGCGAAAGCGUGGGGAGCAAACAGGAUUAGAUACCCUGGUAGUCCACGCCAUAAACGAUGAAUACUAGGUGUAGGGGGUAUCGACCCCCUCUGUGCCGACGUUAACACAUUAAGUAUUCCACCUGGGGAGUACGGCCGCAAGGCUGAAACUCAAAUGAAUUGACGGGG